rnacentral:rRNA from 1 species
GAUGAACGCUGGCGGCGUGCCUAAUACAUGCAAGUCGAGCGAACAGAUGAGGAGCUUGCUCCUCUGACGUUAGCGGCGGACGGGUGAGUAACACGUGGAUAACCUACCUAUAAGACUGGGAUAACUACGGGAAACCGGAGCUAAUACCGGAUAAUAUAUUGAACCGCAUGGUUCAAUAGUGAAAGACGGUUUUGCUGUCACUUAUAGAUGGAUCCGCGCCGCAUUAGCUAGUUGGUAAGGUAACGGCUUACCAAGGCAACGAUGCGUAGCCGACCUGAGAGGGUGAUCGGCCACACUGGAACUGAGACACGGUCCUGACUCCUACGGGAGGCAGCAGUAGGGAAUCUUCCGCAAUGGGCGAAAGCCUGACGGAGCAACGCCGCGUGAGUGAUGAAGGUCUUCGGAUCGUAAAACUCUGUUAUUAGGGAAGAACAAAUGUGUAAGUAACUAUGCACGUCUUGACGGUACCUAAUCAGAAAGCCACGGCUAACUACGUG